rnacentral:rRNA from 1 species
UGAGUAACCUGCCCUUCACUCUGGGAUAACUCCGGGAAACCGGGGCUAAUACUGGAUAUGACUCGAACAGGCAUCUGUUUCGGGUGGAAAGAUUUAUUGGUGGAGGAUGGACUCGCGGCCUAUCAGCUUGUUGGUGAGGUAAUGGCUCACCAAGGCGACGACGGGUAGCCGGCCUGGAGGAGGGCGAUCGGCCACACUGGGACUGAGACACGGCCCAGACUCCGUAGGGNGCA